CUCCUGGGCUCUUAUCAGAUUAAAGUGCCGAACCUUCCGGCAUGAGGAACAUCAUCUGGCCUGAAGAGAAGGUCAGGAGACUCAACACGAAUAAAAUGUGAUACAACAGUGUACAGUGAUGCCCGCUCAGAGCUGCCUGGAGUGACUCCUCCAGAGGAAAACAGUCACCCUGGUCCUGCCUCCGCCUCCCCAAGCUUUAGUGAACCACCAUAUUCCCGCCUGCAGGACUUGAGUUGGGAACUGUGAGAUCGUUGGAUUUUGAGAGGCGAAGUGUUCAGAUGAGGUCUGAAGAUGAAUAGUAAUAGCUGAUGAGCAAACCAGGGAUCAGGAAGUAACUUGGUGAUGGUCUCACAUGUGGAUGUGCUGAAUCUGGUCUGUGAUUUGGACCCAGGCCCCUUGAUGCUGAUGGCUAAGCUUUGACCUUUUAUCCGGUGACCAUCAUUUGCCAUUGCAGGAU